rnacentral:rRNA from 1 species
GAGUAAAGACGGCGAAAGGGUGAGUAACACGUAAUCAACCUACCCCCGACGAUCGGAAUAACCACUGGAAACGGUAGGCGUAAUGCUGGAUGACUCUGCGCUGCGGCAUCGCAGUGCAGCUAAAUGGCGGCGCAAGCUGCUGUUCGGGGACGGGAUUGCGACCUAUCAGCUAGUUGGUGAGGUAAUGGCUCACCAAGGCGAUGACGGGUAGCCGAUCUGAGAGGACGACCGGCCACACUGGGACUGAGACACUGCCCAGACUCCUACGGGAGGCUGCAGUCGAGGAUCUUCCGCAAUGGGCGAAAGCCUGACGGAGCGACACCGCGUGCAGGAUGAAGGCCUUCGGGUUGUAAACUGCUGUCACGCUAUAGGAACCCCUGAAUGUGAAUAGCAUUCAGGCUGACUAAAGCGAGAGGAAGCACCGGCUAACUCUGUGCCAGCAGCCGCGGUAAGACAGAGG